UGGAACAAUUACGAAGACACUGGAUUGUAAAGACACUUUCCCAUUCCAUGAGAACAAAGUAAUUACAAAGCAGCUUUCAGAAAAGGCAUUUCCCCCUCAUUCCACAAGCCUACUUUUUAAAAUGGUUGUGAUGACUAAGAGAGCCAGUGCAGUGUAGUAGUUAGAGCAGGGCUGUGCAGCUUUGGCCAUCCAGCCAUUUUUGGACUACAGCUCCCAGCAUCCCCAGCCACAGGGGCCAAUAGUCAGGGAUGAUGGGAACUGUAGGCCAAUAUCUGCAGGAAGGCCAAAGUUCUGCAGCCCAGGUUUAGAGCAUUGAACUAGGACUGGGGAGACCCAAGUUCAUAUCCCUGUUCUGCUAUGAAACUCACUGGGUGACUCUGGGCCAGUCACUUAUCUCAGUCUAGCCUACCUCCCAGGAUUGUUGUGAGGAUAAACACAAUGAUGCAGACUGCUCAGGGCUCCUUGCAGGAAGAGCGGAAUAUAAAUACAGCAUGUAAAUAAAUAAAUAAAAUAAAAUAAUAUUCCCAAAGCAUUUAGGGAAAGUGCUAUGUAAAGACUAAGCAUUAGAAAUUCUUUCCUCUGUCAAAUGCUGGAGGGCAUAGUAGGUUCCCAUUAUGAUGCAACAUAUUGCAGUGCAAUUCUUAUUCCUUAUUCUACUAUCAUCUCAUUCGUUCUGUGUGAGUUUCGUAUGACAAUGGUAAUUACGGCUGUGGUAGGAAGCUGGAAUGUUUAGUAUCUGGUGGAUUGUUUUCUUGGCUCGGCCUGUUGAACAGUCAAUGGCAACUUUGGGAUAACUAGCACACCACAAGCGAGGCAAACAGAAGUCCACAGUAGGUGUUGUGGAAACAGUGUGUUCUUUGUGGUGGUGUCUCGGUGCCCUCUCUCUUCUUGCAGGAAAGCAAACACUCCGGGAGAGCUCUGUCAGGCCCUGCCUGAGAGAGAGACAGCCAGGGUGAAGAAAUGACUCACAGACUAUUUUUCAGCUACGUCUGCUGGCUGCAGGAAGGGGUGGCAAGUGGGACCACUGAAGGUGUUUUGCCCGAGGGCCUCUCAAACCCCGGAACUGAUGCUGCAAGCAAGUGAUACGUGCCACGUGCAGGACAGCUGUUUCCUGUUAAAAGAGACAACUACCACCUGCAUUUCUGCCCUUUAAAACAUUUUAUGAUCCAUUUCCUUCUCCCAGCCAACCGCAGAAUAUUUAGCAAGAUGUCUUCUUGAUUUCUAGAUCCUGUGUUUUCCCUGGCAGCCCUCUCUGUAAUUUUCUAUCUUUAGUUUUGGAUUUCAAGUGGUGGUUGGGUUGUUUACCCAACAAUAUCUCUGGAUUCCUGGAGGGAGGAGGCUGAAAUUAGGAAGCAUAAAUUAUCUGGCUAAGUGUACAUUAUAAACUGCAUGCUGCCAGCUAGUCCUUUAGAGGAGAGUUCUACUACUACCAGGGAAAGAAUAAAUAAUAGGCUUUCACCCACUACUAGCUUCAGUAGUUCUCAGAGCUAGCAGGUGAACUCAUUGACAUCAGGGACUCAUCCUCAAGCCGAAACACGCAUUACUGUUUAUUGCAGCAAUUGCCAAACCACAUGCCUUGAGAGGUAAAUUAAUACAUAACAUGGAAUAAUGAAAUAAUUAAAGGCUCAGGGAAGCCAGAGGCAAAAGGCAAGGGGCAGGGUGUCCUCACCUGUUUGUUCUGUUACUUCCCCCUUUCUUCUGUAUCUUUUAAAUAUAACAAUUGACAGAUCUUACUGAUAUUUGUGGGGAGAUGGUAUCCAGUUGGCCUUAACACUUGCAAUUAAGUGACAAAAUAAAUUUUUUAGUGCUUUUGGCAUCAUGGUGAACAAAGCUGCUCAAAAUACACAUCUGUUUUCAUGUGUACAGAAGAAUGAUGAUGCCAUCAAGCCAACCCCUAAACACAUGCGAUUACCAUAUAACUCCCAUCAACUCUGGUUUAUUUAAAACAAGAGACUACAAGCAGAGCUCUUCCAACCAUCUGGUGCCAUCUAGUGAAGUGUGGGGAAACUGCAAAAAUAUAUAAUGAAUACGCAAACUUGUCUAGCUUGUCUUUUCCUCCCAUGAGCGGCCUGGCCGGGCAAUCCCACCUCUAGCAGACUUCUCACUCACUCCCUACUACUUUUGACUUACGGCAAUAGUCUUGAAAUGUUUGUUGAUCCUAUCAGUUUCCUUUAAAUAGAUUGAUUUCAUGGCUGAAAGCUCCCCAAACAAUACCUCAGGCAAUAAGAAUAAAGUUUUCAAGAGCUGA